UCCGACGUUCUUUUCCACUUCUUCAUUUGCGAUGAUCGAUAGGAGAUCCAUUCGGAUAGCGGCCAUUCUCGGCCUCUUCCUCCUCCUUCCACAGGCAUUUGCCGGCCGAUUUCUACCCAGGGAGGAGGUGAGCUUCCGUGGAGCUUUUCCAUAUUCAGUUGAAGAUGGACGCAGUUACGCCUAGGGGUGUGCACGGGUACCGGGUAUAUCUGGAAUCGGUUGGAACCUACCCUAACGGAUCAUAAUCGAGAUCGCCGACAAUGCUAAUUGGUGGUGGCCUUGCUAGCAACCAUUACGCACCACCACAAUCGGGAUCGCCGACAAUGCUAAUUGGGGCGGUGGUUGCCACCGGUGAGACACCAAGAGACUCGAGAGGACUCAAAACUAUUAUGAUCGAAUUCCAAUAAGAUGCUUUGUAAUUUGGAUAUUCUGUAAUUUCUUUUAUAGAUUCCUCUCAGUGGUUUUCUGCUUCUUCUUUUUUUUUUUUUUUUUUUUUGUGGCGUGCUAGAGACGCAAUAAGCUUGUUGCUUAGCGAACGUUUGUUUAUAUAUAAAUUCCUCUGAUCAACCGGAAAAUUUUUAC